AAAUUGUGCAGGACCCAACCAACAGACCCAUAGCUCUCCAGGACCAGGGUUGGAGACCACUGACCUGGGCCAUCCAGUGGUCAUAUUUGUAUGUUGUACAAAGCAGUCUUCUUCUAAGUUCUGCCGUCAUAGUGACAUUGGCUCAGGAGGUAAGAGGAGAUCGAUCCCGCCCUGGGUGUGUCGGAGUGUCCCUGAGCAAGACACCUCCUGACGAGCUGGUUGGUGCCUUGCAUGGCAGCCAAUCGCCGUUGACUGGUGAUGAGGAACGUCCUUGGCUGAAUGCUGCCUGGCUCCAAUACAGGAGAUCUUAUGGGGAGCACAGUGUGAGAAGAUAAAGCCUCCUGGGACGGUCGGGAGAGUGGAUCUGGACCAGAGAGACUACUGACCAGUGAUUCACAGUGUAAUCCCUGGUUUACAUGGAACAUCAUAUUCAGAUGUGGUGUUUAUUAUCAGAACAUCAACUGUGGCUGAAGAAAGUAGUCCUGAAUCAGUUUGCUAUUUUCACUUUCUCACACAUUCACUCUGUAUUGUAAAAGAAUUGCUUAAUGGGUGGCCCAUUCCUGCAGUUGUGAUAUUUUACCACUAGGUGGUGAAAAG